CCUACGGGAGGCAGCAGUGAGGAAUAUUGGUCAAUGGGCGAGAGUCUGAACCAGCCAAGUCGCGUGAGGGAUGACUGCCCUAUGGGUUGUAAACUUCUUUUAUAUGGGAAUAAACUGUUCCACGUGUGGGCUUUUGUAUGUACCAUAUGAAUAAGAAUCGGCUAACUCCGUUCCAGCAGCCGCGGUAAUACGGAGGAUCCGAGCGUUAUCCGGAUUUAUUGGGUUUAAAGGGAGCGUAGGUGGAUUGGUAAGUCAGUUGUGAAAGUUUGCGGCUUAACCGUACAAGUGCAGUUGAAACUGACAGUCUUGAGUACAGUAGAGGUGGGCGGAAUUCGUGGUGUAGCGGUGAAAUGCUUAGAUAUCACGAAGAACUCCGAUUGCGAAGGCAGCUCACUGGACUGCAACUGACACUGAGGCUCGAAAGUGUGGGUAUCAAACAGGAUUAGAUACCCCUGUAGUC
rnacentral:rRNA from 1 species